CCUUAUCAUUGACGUAAAUUUCUUGUCAGCAAAUUUUAAGUCUGCUCUCUUUAAGAAUAUUAAAUUUUUUUGCACACAUGUUUAUUCAAUCGGCCUUUUAUAACUCGGCAUUUUCACGAAUUCCCAAAAUGAUAACGUAAUGCAGACAGUAAGGCUGGUUGUUCUCAUCACAAUCGAAUAUCAGAAAUGAAAAUUUACUCUUCAACAAUGAAAAUACUGACUACUACUGUGGAAAUAAGUGUGGAUUUGGAUAUGCGGGUGAUCUGCGCUACGUUCGCUAUUGCUCUACUCCUUCCACUUCUGUUCAGCUACUUGCGAAGAUAUCUCUACGGCAUCGCAUUUCGGGAAUAAUGAUCGCAGUUCGUCACUGCAUGCACGGUUCAGUUGGAGGAUGAUUACAGCCACCGCCGGAUCUUAGCGGACAGCAGUGAACAACCGUGGACACCGCUAGACAAUAGCGGAUACUAGGUAUCCGGACAAUGGCGGGUACCGGACUACAGCAACUACCAGCGGCCGGAUAACAGUGGACACCGGACAACAGCAGACAGUGGACAGAUACGGACACCGCUGGGCAUUGGCGGACACCGGACUGUAGCGGGAGGCGGACUACAGAAAAUAUCAGCGGCCGGAUAACAGUGGACACCGGACAACAGCAGACAGUGGACAGCAAUGGACACUGCCGAACAGCGGUGAAUAUAUUGGACAGCAGCGGACAAAGGACAGCACCAGACAGAAGCGAACACCGAAAAGUGACGGACACUGGAUUGAAGUGGACACCGGCAAGAUGUGGGCACCCGUCCGACGAAAAAGGGGCACCAACCAGCCGCUAUUGACCGAGUACCGACCAAGGAUCCAUCGGUCAGUUCGGUCCAUACAGCUGCUACCGCUGA